rnacentral:ncRNA from 2 species
AUUUAAUAGAAAUUAUAAGGUGUGCAAGCUUAAUAGGGAAUCCCGUUCAAAUCGGGAGCGGUCCCGCCGCUGUAACCCCGCCUUUUCUUAUUGAGAAAAGGAACCCGGUCAGCCUUGUGUGCCACUGUUUCGUCGUAACGGGAUGGGAAGGUCGCUGAGCGGGCGGGGGAGUCAGAAGACCUGCCUUAGCCAUACGCCACGA